UACAUAUACUAGUUACUGACCUUGGGGUUUAACCGUUAAGAUUUCUAAAAAUAUCUAAAUCUGGAAAACACAAUGUAGAGCUACUUUGGAAAUUCUGUACUGCUAUAAAUAAAUAGCAAGAGUUAGCAUAUAUAAACGUGUGCGACAAAUGCAAUUUCAAACACACGAUGGAUCAUAUCACAGAGAAUAAACGUUCAUUUCUUCAUUUCUUCACACCAUCAUCAGCUAUACGCUUUGGCCAUAUUUCAUUAGAACUUUAUGAUGGCACUUAUAUCAGUUUUUGGCCAGAAAAGGGAACAACAAGUUGUCAAAUUUUAAACGAUAACAAGUGCCCAGCUAGAUGGUACAGCACUUUCGAAGAGGAAGUUCGGGGUAACAAAAUACCAAUUUCCUUGGCUGUGUUCGGACUUGAUAUAAACAACGUAAAAUUAUGGUUGGAGAAAUUUAAAUCAAGCGAUCCUAAAUAUGAUGUACGCGAACAAAACUGUGCGUCGGUUGUGUAUAAAGCACUCCGAGAAGGAUCGGAUUGGUUUGAAAAGAAUGUGAAAGACUGCAAGGGUAUCAAGACUCCGAUACAGAUUUUUGAGUACGUAAAAAAAGGUUACAAUACAAACACUAAAAUAGAUUGUGGAUAUAUGUGUACACAUUGCCUAUGUUUAACACCGUAUAAAAUCUUUGGUUUCUUUUUAUUCUACUUUAACAAUGCAUAUACGUUCUGCUCAAGUAAACUGAAGAAAGAUGUGGAGUGUAACAAGAGAGAUAAACAGAUAUGUGUCUUGUUCUGAAGAAGACUCUGUGACUGUCAGUACUAAUAAAGAUGUGCCAGCAGAAGAGAAACCAAUUCUGGAAGAUAUUGCAUACUCAGAGAGGAUUGUUGAUCUACGUUGCAAAAUGGAACCAAAAACUGUGUCCCUUUCGAAAAAAACAUUCAUAUCUAUGUCAGAAUCAAAAGAGAAUUUGGAUAUUUGUUUUGUAGCAGAGGAUUUUGCAGAGGAUGCUUCUGUAAUAGAUCUUGGCAUUAAAUUUAGAAAAACAACUGUACGCCAGGAACAAGACAUUGGGUGUUAGACUUAAGACUUUUACAAUGGGGGUAUAUUUAAUAUGUAAAAACACUUUUCCAUGAAUAGAUCAACUUUUUAAACCUGACAAGGAAUUACAGAGGCGAGGAUUAUUAUGUUUGACGUUACAGUUCAUUGACAGAGAUUUUAUUCAUUUCGGACACAUAGAUGCAAUGUUUCAAUGACCUUGGCAUACAAGCUGUAGAAAUAAAAUCUAUUGAACUUCCAAUGAAAACCAAAUUCUAAAGAAGAAUAAUGCCAGUUUUGAUGUCUGAGACACGCCCGACAAAUGAUGAUACUGAUAGUGUACGGAAUUUAGACCAUUUUCGGAACGGGAGCAGAAAAAAAUUGGCAUCAAUAAUAUUGAUAUCAUUGGUUGUUCAACAUCUGUAUGUGUUAUGUUGAUAUAAACACCAAUUAACUGUGAUUAUCAGCUUGUUGACUGUGAUACGAACAAAACAACACAAUGAACUGUGUUAUAAUGAUAAACAGCAAGUUAACUGUGAUACAAAGAAUAUAACCAAUGAACUGUGUUAUAAUGAUAAACAGACAGUUUGCUGUGAUACAAAGAAUAUAACCAAUGAACUGUGUGAUAAUGAUAAACAGCAAGUUAACUGUGAUACAAAGAAUAUAACCAAUGAACUGUGUUAUAAUGAUAAACAGACAGUUUGCUGUGAUACAAAGAAAAUAACCAAUGAACUGUGUUAUAAUGAUAAACAGACAGUUUGCUGUGACACAAAAAAUAAAACAAAAACUACAAUGAACUAUGUAAAUUUAUAGAUCAACAACCAGGAGACUGUAGUACAAAAAAGUUGAAAACCAUUGAACUGUGAAAAAACCCAAUGAACUGUGAUACAUAAACCAAAUGACUGUGAUAUAAAAAGCAACUAACUGCGAUAUGAAUACCAAUUUGUUAGUUUGUUUGGUUUUACGCCAAAGAGACAUAAUGGUCAUGACAUGGAGGCCGGCCCAUCUUACCGGUUUUCCUGGAAACCAAUUAACUAUAACUAACCAAAAAUUACCAAUUUUUAUGCAAAGGAACCUGUUAACUAUGAGCAUACUCACCCGCUCUUAGUGUUUGUGUUUUCACAAAUAUUUGGUUCAUAACCUUUUUCAGUAAAAAGUAUGAAGAGUGAAAAUCUGUAGCAGUAUGAUUAUAAUGGGCAUUUGAGAUUACAAACUUUUGUUUUCUAUUUAAAGAUUUUCAUGAAUAGAAAGUUUUAUGUGGCUGCAGUGAUAAAUGGCAAAACUUAUUUAAACUGUGAAUAUAAAUAAACUGUAAAUAUUUAUAAAGAAUGUAAAUAUUUAAAAUCAAUAAAUUAAAUUGUAAAUAUUAUAUGAUAAAAUUUGUACAAUACUCAUGAAUUAUAUGAUGAAGAAAUCUGUAUAUAUGACAAAAAGACAACCACAAAAAUUUAUUUACCAUUUGAUAAUCACACUUUUAAAGCAUUGACUGCAUUGUUUUACAUUUUUUUUUACAUUUGUAUAUUGUGACUUUUUUUUAGUAUAGGGUAUUGCAUCUAGAUGUAAAAUUAGAUUAACUUUGUACAUGAUUGUGUUCUUUAUGUGGCAUUUACUUGUUAAGAUUUUUAUGAUUUGCAUUUAUUUACUGUUUUAUUGUUGAACUUCUUUGAUAUUUAAUAAUUAUUGUUCUUUUAUAAAUAUAUAUACAUGUAUUGCUUUUGAUACUAUAUUUUUUCAUCUGUUACCUUUACAAUAUGUUGUAUUUGCUUUUGAUACUUCCGUUAUAUACAUGUUUUGUUUCAUUUAAAAGAUAAAUAAAAAUAUUUAAAACAAUU